GACAGACUGCGGGAGGAAACGGGCCUCAUAAUGUGCUCCGCUGCAAAUUUCCUGUUUCCACGGCGCCCGGGUGGGGGCACGGGGAUUGAAAGGGCCGGCAGCCCUGGGGGAGAGUGCCAGGCGCAGCGCGUUUCCGACCCUGGCGCGUGCGCAAGUUCGCACAUUGUUUGAGCUGCCAAAGGUCUUUAUGUAUGAGGAAAAAGGCGCUGGGGGAAUCGCGGAGCUGUGCGCGCCCCCCUGGUCUACACAGAAAAGAGCUCCACUUUCCAUUCGCACCAAACUUUCCUGACCCUGAUGGAAACCCUGCUGCUGCACACGUCCGAUACGAGUUUUCGGAACUUCGGAGGAAACUAGACGGCCGAGCAACACUCACUGGGAAAUGGCCAGAAGAAGGACGUUUACUGUCUCCAAUGAUCUGCAAAAGGAGAAGGAACUUGGGGCGAGGAGGUAAAAGUGACGACAGUCACCAGGCCGGCAUCCCGCAUCUGCUCAGGCUCAUCCGCCACGAUUAUUUCGUCGGGAUACGAAUAUUGUCCCGUCCAACGUACGACGUCCACUGCAGGGGACCACCGUCUCUGCUACCUGACUGUCCUCAUGCCUUCAUCCCUCAGGAAUGUAGGAGUAAAUGUUGAGGCGCCCUUGGGCUCAUGACUCGUGCACAUCUGCUGUGUGGUUUCCCACCUGAAACGCAGGCAAAGCCAGUUUACCACAGUAAACCUCAGAAACGGUUCACAAGGGGGCGGACGGCUGGCCCUCAUUUUACAAACGGCUAAGAAUUUUUAAACAUAUGAACAUUUUCCCGUUUUAUUCUUCGAUGCUUCAGUGCGUCACCUAAUGUCCAAAACAGCGUUUCUAUCUGUACCUGCCGAGCAGACAGAUAGCGGCACAAAACUCCCAGACAGAAAGAGGGUCCUUUCACGUCAAGUCCAAAGAGUUCACAGGUGCAUCAGGUGCGUAUUGGUGAUCAAUAACAGGACAAGGACAAAAGCUGCAUGUUCAUGGAAAGAGGAGAGAAGGUCUUUUUAUUUUUGGCUAUUUUAAAAUAGCUGAAUCUUUAUAUGGUUUGACAUUAAGAAAAAGGAGACUAACAGGGUUUGUUUUAAAAAACUUGUAAUAUCUUAAUUUUUAUACAGCCUAAUCUGUACAUAAAUUGAGAGGUGUGUAUAUUAUUAUGCAUUUACUCAUUGCGAUGUAGGGGUUAAAGUGACUUUAGACUUCGAAACAAAACCAAUUAUGAAUAGGCAUCCUAUCCCAUUGUAUUCAUAAAUUAAGGAACCAGUUACAAGUUUGGUUUUCUGAAAGCAAAACAUCUUAAAAAAAAUUCUCAGCAAUUUUUGCAAUCGCCUUACCGAAUAAUGCAAGGGUAAGCUAAAUGAAUAAAUAAUGAAUAAAAAUCAUGCAACUAACAUCCAAUGCAACAACAAAGACAUGCCUUAAACAAUCACACCAGAAGCAAGUUUGACUUCUGUGACAUUUUAGUGUUAGGAAAACCACAAAGAGUGCAGGGAAAAAAUAAUUCACAGAAAGCAAAACCAUCUAUUACCAGUUUCUCCAUCUUCAACAAAAGGCCAGAAAAAGUCUGUUUUUCCCCCCACCAAAUGGAGCAAUUGCUUAAAGAAAACCCCGGAAAUCCAAAUUACAUAAUCAAAAUGAAUAUUACUAUGUAAUUUUAUGAACAUCAAUAUGUGAACCUGGAAUAUCUGCACUUUUGUUUUUUAAAGAACAAACCUCUUGUCGCAAAGCUUCAUAUGGGAAUCUGUAGUAGGAAAAUUACUAAAAGGAAAUGUAGCACUCAAUAAACAGAAGCUUAAGUCUACACCUCACACACAGAAAUGUACACAUGUGGUUUUCCCAGUAAACACAAAGAUCAUACACAUCAGAGAACAUAAAAAAAAACAGGUGACGUUUAAACACACUGCAAUGGCGAGAAAAUACUCAAAGUAUUAAUGUAUAUAAGAAAAAGUUCAAUGUUAUCUUACUUGUACAUAAUAGAAGCUGGGAAGUUUCAGGGAAAUGAUAAACAUACACACACAAAUUACAUUUCUUGUAUUUAUGCCAUGACACACUGUGUAUCUGUUGCCGCUCUUUUCUGAACGCACCCAUAAAGGCACAUGGCACUUGCCCAGUAAUGUUUUUAUUAAUGCACAUGUUUAAACAAAGCUAUAAGAUUGGCCAGUGAAAACAGAUCACAAGCAGCUGUGAAACGUGUGGUCUGUCAUAUGACAGCAGUUUACACUGUCCAUCAAUGCCUAUGUUGGGUAAGCAUUUCUUAAGAAGGUCCACAGGACUCCUACUGAUGACUACUAAUUAUUAUUCCUAUCCAAUGGAUGAUUAUUACACACACACACACACACACACACACACACACAC